UCCCGUGCGCGUGCGCGUGCGCGUGCGCGGUGGGCGGCUUUGCCGCUGGUCUCUCCUAGUGUCGCCUGCGUCUCGGCGGUGCUCUCCGCCCUGAAACAGCUUUUCUGUCCGCCUGUCCUGGCCGUCAGGAGUGUGUGACUUCCACUGCGGCCCGCACGGUGCAGACCCCCUCAGCGCGAAGCUCCACCCGGCCGUGAGGGGCUGAGUGGCUGUGAGGAGAGGGCGGGUGCCUGUGGUGAUGCUGAAGACUUGGAUCGUGAUUCACUAGAGCUCAAAAUGGCGACACGGGAAAGAAGUCGGAGGUGACGAACGUACCUCAGAUGUGGUAGAGCAGAUGCUUUCACAGGCGUUGUUUCAAGUCACCCUCGCAAAACCCCGGGAGGCGGGCCUUUAAAUCCCCAUCCUAAAGACGGAAAAGACACCCUGACAAGAGGCUUGCCCAAUAUCACACAGCCGGUUGAUGGAAGAGGCGUGACUCGAACCCAAGUUCCCUGUUCUUUUUUUAAAACGAGUUUAGGGUUUAGGGUUUAUUUCUCUGAUGGGUCACUACUAUAGAGGAACCAUGUUAAUACGUAGGAAAAGCUUUUCUGCCUUCAAGAGUGGCCCCUGAAAAGAUGGAUUCAAAACUUUAAAAGUGGAGAGGGAAAGCAGUCAUUUUUGUCCUCAUUUUCAAACAUGUCCAUGGUGAAUAUUUAACUUAACAAAUAAGAGCAUUUGUAUAUCAAGCUAACAAACAUUGAGGCCUCCUCCACUUCUCUGCCUACUCUGUUGACCCGAUCAUCUGGACCACCCUUACUCUUGAGCAUCUACCAAUGUAAGUCCUUCGGAGGCCGAAUCACUAGAUUGCUGACCUGCUUCCCUAGUCAGAAAGUUCUUCAAAGGCAGUGACUCUUCGUAACCAUUUUUGUGACUUUGCCUCUAGCAGAGUCUAGCUCAAAAAAAGAAGAGAAUUUCAGCUUGUUCUCAAAGAAUACCAAAAUAGUCUAAGAAAGAAAAAAAAAGUCUUAAGCUCUCAUAAGCACAUAAUCAGAUCUUACCAUCUUUCAUGGGGCCUAUUGUUUGUAAUUAUCUUCAUAUGAAAAGGGUAAAAAAGUAAUGGUAGGAGGGACCAUAAAUGCAACAAAGGUUCCCGCAUUGGUCAUUCUAAAAUUGGCUGAUACAUCAAACAGCAAGAGUAGCAGUGUAAACUACUCUGAUGGCCACUGGAAAGAGUAACUGUCCCUACCUGAUCAUAUCCCAGGGAGCUUCAUUGUCCUGAUAAGUGCCCUUCUUGAAAGUGUGUUGGUUACAUUGCUUCUGCAAAGGUCAAAGAGAGAUAGGUUAUCCUUGGUCACCUUUCAGAUUUUCUACUUGUCAAAGUAAGAACUCUGUUCACUGUACGUGUGUCUCAUGCACUUCUAGGUGAGACUAUGGCAGGAGAUCACAUGCAGGGUAGAUCCAGGAACUCAUGUUGGCUUAAUUUGAAAAAAAUCUUUUCAGUUGUUAGGGUGCCUGAGUGGCUCAUUUGGUUGAGCAUCUGACUCUUGACUUCAGUUCAGGUCUUGAUCUAGGGUUGUGUGAGUUCAAGCCCUCCACUGGGUUCUGCGCUGGGUGUGGAGCCUACAAAAACAAACAAACAAAAACUUUUGAAUGCAAUUAUUUAUCGUAAAAUUCUAUUUAAGAAGUGACACAUCCAGGAGAAAAUUGUGAAAGGACAACAGCUUGCAUGCCAGCCUUGGAACAAGAAGCUGGAUAGCCUGCCAGGCAGCAGGUCUCUUUUGACACUCUUGGCUGGAACAGAUGAACUCUGUUUCUUCUGUCAGUGCUUUGCUAUCCUUUAGAGUCAAAGUCCUGGGAAAAAGAGUCUGGUUAGCUGAGCUUAGGGCAUGUGCCCUGCCCUUGGCAGUGGCAGAUCUGAGAGGAAGGAUUAGCAGAAGGAAUCUCCAGGGAUCUCUUUGGAUUCCCUAGUGUGAGGCAGGCACAUGAAUUUUACCAAGACUUUGUGCUAUGUGGGAAAAUAAUUACCCAGGUGAAAAUCAGGGUGCUUUUGGGAAGUGGGAAUGAAGGCCAAGCAUCCAAAAAUGCCAUUAUCUACCACUAAGAGCAAAAAAAGUGAUCAUGGGAUGCCUGAGUGGCUCAGUGGUUGAGCAUCUGACUUUGGCUCAGGGCGUGAUCCCAGGGUCCAGGAUCGAGUCCCACAUCAGGCUCCCUGGAAGGAGCCCACUUCUCCCUCUGCUGUGUCUCUGCCUCCCUCUCUGUGUCUCUCAUGAAUAAAUAAAUAAAUAAAGUAUUUUAAAAAGUGAUCAUUUUAAUGGCAUUAAA